UAUCCCAAAGAAGAUAACAGUAGUCAGAGUAGUGUCCUUGGUCAAACACCGCUGUAUCAUAUAACAGUAGUCAGAGUAGUGUCCUUGGUCAAACACCGCUGUAUCAUAUAACAGUAGUCAGAGUAGUGUCCUUGCGGCUUGACAAAUUUGGCUUCAGAUUCGAACAUUUAUAAACGUCAGAUUUGUUGUUGUUUUGAACACCCUGGCUUACUGCUGUGGCUCCUCCUGCAUUCAUUCACAAUGGUUAAGUUAAGGGAUACUUUUUGGGUUAAAACAAAAUAAUAAUAAUAAUACAACUAGGACUGAACACAUUGUUCGCAUCCCCAUCCAACGUCCUAGCAAAACUCAAGCCUACUUGAUGUCCCAUAAACAUCACAAUGGUCCAUUUGUUUGAUUAAUUCCUUUGUUAUAUCUCCAAAAUGUCCAUUUAUUUGGAGUGUUUGAUUCAGAAAAACACCGGUUCCAACUCGCCCAUCAUGACUACAAAAUAUCUAAUAAGUUACCUGUAAACGCUGUCCAAAUAUUUCAAACAACUUUCCUAAUCCAACUUUAGGUAUUUUAAAAUGUAAAUAAUCAAUAAAAUUUAAGACGGGAUAAACUGUGUUCAAUACUGGAAAAAAACAACGUGAAGCGUGUGACCUGGAGCGCACAUCAAAACAUUAGAGAGCACUAGGCUGGACCCUCGUUCUGAACAGCCGUACUUCUUCAUUUCUCUAAAGGAAAAUAUCAACCAAUUUCUAAAGACUGUUGACAUCUAGUGGAAGCAAUAGGAACUGCAACCAAGUGCCACAGAAAUCUAGGUUCCCAUAGAAAUCUCAUUGAAAACAGAGUUACCUCAACAACAAAAAAAUCCUGGAUGGUUUGUCCUCAGGGUUUCGCCUGCCAAAUAAGUUUUGUUAUACUCACAGACAUAAUUUUAACAGUUUUAGAAACGUUAGCGUGUUUUCUAUCUAAAUCUACCAAUUAUAUGCAUAUCCUAGAUUCUGGGCCUGAGUAACAGGCAGUUUACUUUGGGCAUGCUUUUCAUCCAAAAUUCCGAAUGCUGCCCCCAUCCUAAAAAAGUUAAAAGACCUUCGCUUGGUAAAUGAGAAUAAAGCGUCAAUAGUACUGUUUGUCCAGGCACAGUAGCCGUUUUUGAUGAGAACUUGGUCGUGCAAUUGUACAUCUAACUAAGAUGUUUGGUGCAGUAUUUCUCAAUGAAAAAAUGUGCAUGAAAACAAGUCGUCUCUCAUUGAAUGACAACAAAUAUUUUAUUGAAAAAUCCCUACAGUUGACCAAUGACGGACAAAGGGGAGUAGACAUCAUGUCAUAAUAUAUGCACAAACUCUUCUGAACAGUUUAUGGCUAGGAAGUAUGCAGACAUCUUUAGAGUGAUGAGAUAUAGAGAUGUAGAGAGAGUAGUGGAGGGACUUGUAGGAGGAGAGGUAGAGAGAUGGAGGGACUGAUAGGAAGAGAGGUAGAGAGAAGGAGGGACUCAUAGGUAGAGAGGUAGAGAGAAGGAGGGACUCAUAGGUAGAGAUGGAGGGACGGAUAGGAAGAGAGAUAGAGAGAUGGAAGGACAAAUAAGAGGAGAGAUAUAGGGACAGAUAGGAGGAGAGAAAGAGAAAUGGAGGGACUGAUAGUAGGAUAGGAAGAGAGGUGGAGGUACGGAUAGGAGGAGAGAUGGAGGGAUGGAUAGGAGGAGAGGUAGAGAAAUGGAGGGACUGAUAGGAGGAGAGAAAGAGAAAUGGAGGGACUGAUAGGAGGAGAGAUAGAGAGAUGGAGGGACGGAUUGGAGGAGAGGUAGAGAGAUGGAGGGACGGAUAGGAGGAGAGAUAGAGAGAUAGAGGGAUGGAUAGGAGGAGAGAUAGAGAGAUGGUGGGACGGAGAGGUAGAGAGAUGGAGGGACAAAUAGGUGGUGAGAUGGAUGGACGGAUAGGAAGAGAGAUGGAUGGACGGAUAGCAGGAGAGAUGGAUGGACAAAUAGGUGGUGAGAUGGAGGGACGGAGAGGUAGAGACAUAGAGGGACAAAUAGGUGGUGAGAUGGAGGGACGGAUAUGAGGAGAGGUAGAGAGAUGGAGGGACUGAUUGUUAGAGAGAUGGAGGGACUGAUACGUAAAGAGAUGGAUGGACGGACUGAUAGGAGGAGAGGCAGAGAGAUGGAGGGACGGAUAGGAGGAGAGGCAGAGAGAUGGAGGGACUGAUAGGAGGAGAGGUAGAGAGAUGGAGGGACGGAUAGGAGGAGAGGCAGAGAGAUGGAGGGACUGAUUGGUAGAGAGAUGGCGGGACUGAUAAGUAAAGAGAUAGAUGGACGGAUGGAUAGGAGGAGAGGCAGAGAGAUGGAGGGAUGGAGAGGAGGAGAGGCAGAGAGAUAGAGGCACUGAUAGGAGGAGAGGUAGAGAGAUGGAGGGACGGAUAGGAGGAGAGGCAGAGAGAUGGAUUUUUGGAUAGGAGGAGAGAUGGAGGGACGGAUAGGAGGAGAGAUAGAGAGAUGGAGGGACUGAUAGGUAGAGAUAUGGAUGGAUUUAUAGGUGGUGAGAUGGAUGGACAGAUAGGAGGAGAGAUGGAGGGACGGAGAGGUAGAGACAGAGGGACAAAUAGGUGGUGAGAUGGAGGGACGGAUAGGAGGAGAGAUGGAGGGACAAAUAGGUUGUGAGAUGGAGGGACGGACAGGAUUAGAGAUGGAGGGAUGGAGAGGAGGAGAGGUAGAGAGAUGGAUGGAUUGAGAGGAGAGGUAGAGAGAUGGAGGAAUUGAGAGAGGGAGAUGUAGUGAGAUGGAGUGAUUGAGAGGAGAGGUAGAGAGAUGGAGGGAUUGAGAGGAGAGAUAGAGAUGGAGGGAUUGAGAGGAGAGGUAAAGAAAUGGAGGGAUUGAGAGGAGAGGUAAAUAAAUGCAGGGAUUGAGAGAGGGAGAGGUAGUGAGAUGGAGGGAUUGAGAGAGGGAGAGGUAGUGAGAUGAAGGUAUCGUUUGUAUAUUUGGUGAGUGUUGAACUCUGGGGUUAUUACCUCAUCGUCAGUGUGUGUGAUGGCCAUGUUGACUCUGGUCUGUUGGAUCGUAGCCAAUUGCAUGACAGCUCAGUGGAAUCACUUCCAGACUCAGUGACGUCCUCUCUCUCUCAGGUUCACAGCGUGAACGAAGCAACACACACAUCACACAAACACGCACACACACGCAUGGAUUCACCACUAGAGGCCGACAGUGUGACUCGUGAGCACACUCGCGCACAUGUGUAUCGUGUGUGGGUGUGUGUGUGUGUGUGUGUGUGUGUGUGUGUGUGUGUGUGUGUGUGUGUGUGUGUGUGUGUGUGUGCGUGUGCGUGUGCGGUGGUAGGGUACAGAGGUGCGCUAAUAGCCAUGCUCUUCAAUUCUAGAUGCUUUUUAAGUUUCCCCACCUACACCUGCUAUGACUGUGUUGUCUUAGGGUUAGUGUGUUGUGUUUCAAUGAGUGUGUGUUGGGACAGGGUUAGUGUGUUGUGUUUCAUUGUGUGUUGUGUUAAGCUCUCACAGUCUCACUGCAGAAUCAAAAGUCAAUACAGGACUAAGAUCGAAUCUCACCGGCUCUGACGCUAUUCAUAUGUGACAGGGCUUGCAAACUAUCAUGGAUUACAAAGAGAAACCCAGCCGUGAGCUGCUCAGUGGCACCAGACAAGCUAAAUUCCUUCUCUGCUCGCUUCGAGGCAAGCAACACUGAACCUGCAUGAGAUCACCAGCUGUUCCGGAUGAUCUCGCUAUAAAUAGCCGAUGUGAGUAAGACCUCAGGUGGUAAGGGUAGGCAACAACACAUCCACCAUGCUGGCCCUCAACAAGGUGGCCCCUCAGGGGUGCGUACGUAGUUCCAUCCUGUACUUCCUGUUCACCCACGACUGUGUGGCCACGCACAACUCCAACACCAUCAUUAAUAAGUUUGCUGAUGACACAACGGUGGUUGGCCUGAUCACCGACGACGAUGAGACAGCCUAUAGAGAUGCCAGGACAACAAUCUCUCCCUCAACAUCAGCAAGACAAAGGAGCUGAUAGUGGACUACAGGAAAUGAAGGACCAUCC
rnacentral:lncRNA from 1 species